AACAGUCAAACAAAUUAGCAAUGGGGCCACCAACAGAGUAUAUCCAACCCUGAUUCAGAUAUCUCACUUUAUCAGUUUUCUGUCAAUCAUUAAAACGAGAAAGAUGAAACAUACAAUUAUAUACAAGGACACAGAACUCCUAAUUCUUUCAUCCUAGCUGAAGCAGAAGAGUUUUAAUUGCUUAGAAAAAUAAGAUUUUUGUUUU
rfam:Pteropus alecto contig43025, whole genome shotgun sequence.